AAAAAGACAAGAAAAAGCUCCAGAAAAGAAAUAAGAAAUUUUUUUUUUUUUUGUGUGUAAAAUUCGGAUUUCUCCGGGAAAAAUUGUAAAAAUUGUAAUAAA
rnacentral:ribozyme from 13 species